rnacentral:rRNA from 1 species
AUGAAAUGCCCGACAUCUUUCAUUACCACCACAUCGUCCAGUAAUGGAACAAACUUCUUGAGGCCACCUUUGUUAAUAAAAUCAUGUGCGCCUGCAACAUGGUAUGACAAGUCCACAUCACCAACUAUAAACUUGGUUGGUACCUUUAUCUCAGCUCCGGUCCAUGGCGACGUGAGUUCCCAUGUCCUAAACAUAGACCAGUUAUGGUUGUUAGACCAAAACAUCGUGUGUCCAACUGUCCUAGCAAUCCUUCUCUACAAACAUACAUAUGUUUGGGAAAUCUAUGGUAAUUACAUUUAUACAUUGUUGGUUUUAUAA